rnacentral:tRNA from 1 species
UCCCUGGUGGUCCAGUGGUUAGGCUUCUGUGCUUUCACUACUGAGGCCUGGGUUCGAUCCCUGGUCAGAGAA